rnacentral:rRNA from 1 species
GAUGAACGCUAGCGGCAGGCUUAAUACAUGCAAGUCGAGGGGCAGCAGGUCCGUAGCAAUACGGAUGCUGGCGACCGGCAAACGGGUGCGGAACACGUACAGAACCUCCCUUCGAGCGGGGAAUAGCCCGGAGAAAUCCGGAUUAAUACCCCAUAGUAUGGUGAAGAGGCAUCUCUUUACUAUUAAAGAUUUAUCACUUGAAGAUGGCUGUGCGGCUGAUUAGGUAGUUGGCGGGGUAACGGCCCACCAAGCCUGCGAUCAGUAACUGGUGUGAGAGCACGACCAGUCACACGGGCACUGAGACACGGGCCCGACUCCUACGGGAGGCAGCAGUAAGGAAUAUUGGUCAAUGGACGAAAGUCUGAACCAGCCAUGCCGCGUGGAGGAUGAAGGUCCUCUGGAUUGUAAACUUCUUUUAUAUGGGACGAAAAAAGACCUUUCCAGGUCGUCUGACGGUACCAUAUGAAUAAGCACCGGCUAACUCCGUGCCAGCAGCCGCCGUAACAC